GCCAGCAGCCAUAUCACCCUGCAGCUCACAACUGGCAGACCACUGAAGGUCAGCAGGUGUGAGCCUGGCCAGUACCUGAUUAGGGGACAUCUAGGGAAAAGCUAAGGUUGCUGCUGGAA
rnacentral:rRNA from 1 species